rnacentral:rRNA from 1 species
UCGCUCAGAUUGAACGCUGGCGGCAGGCCUAACACAUGCAAGUCGAGCGGUAGCACAGAGAGCUUGCUCUCGGGUGACGAGCGGCGGACGGGUGAGUAAUGUCUGGGAAACUGCCUGAUGGAGGGGGAUAACUACUGGAAACGGUAGCUAAUACCGCAUAACGUCGCAAGACCAAAGUGGGGGACCUUCGGGCCUCAUGCCAUCAGAUGUGCCCAGAUGGGAUUAGCUAGUAGGUGGGGUAACGGCUCACCUAGGCGACGAUCCCUAGCUGGUCUGAGAGGAUGACCAGCCACACUGGAACUGAGACACGGUCCAGACUCCUACGGGAGGCAGCAGUGGGGAAUAUUGCACAAUGGGCGCAAGCCUGAUGCAGCCAUGCCGCGUGUGUGAAGAAGGCCUUCGGGUUGUAAAGCACUUUCAGCGGGGAGGAAGGCGUUAAGGUUAAUAACCUUGGCGAUUGACGUUACCCGCAGAAGAAGCACCGGCUAACUCCGUGCCAGCAGCCGCGGUAAUACGGAGGGUGCAAGCGUUAAUCGGAAUUACUGGGCGUAAAGCGCACGCAGGCGGUCUGUCAAGUCGGAUGUGAAAUCCCCGGGCUCAACCUGGGAACUGCAUUCGAAACUGGCAGGCUAGAGUCUUGUAGAGGGGGGUAGAAUUCCAGGUGUAGCGGUGAAAUGCGUAGAGAUCUGGAGGAAUACCGGUGGCGAAGGCGGCCCCCUGGACAAAGACUGACGCUCAGGUGCGAAAGCGUGGGGAGCAAACAGGAUUAGAUACCCUGGUAGUCCACGCCGUAAACGAUGUCGAUUUGGAGGUUGUGCCCUUGAGGCGUGGCUUCCGGAGCUAACGCGUUAAAUCGACCGCCUGGGGAGUACGGCCGCAAGGUUAAAACUCAAAUGAAUUGACGGGGGCCCGCACAAGCGGUGGAGCAUGUGGUUUAAUUCGAUGCAACGCGAAGAACCUUACCUGGUCUUGACAUCCACAGAACUUUCCAGAGAUGGAUUGGUGCCUUCGGGAACUGUGAGACAGGUGCUGCAUGGCUGUCGUCAGCUCGUGUUGUGAAAUGUUGGGUUAAGUCCCGCAACGAGCGCAACCCUUAUCCUUUGUUGCCAGCGGUCAGGCCGGGAACUCAAAGGAGACUGCCAGUGAUAAACUGGAGGAAGGUGGGGAUGACGUCAAGUCAUCAUGGCCCUUACGACCAGGGCUACACACGUGCUACAAUGGCAUAUACAAAGAGAAGCGACCUCGCGAGAGCAAGCGGACCUCAUAAAGUAUGUCGUAGUCCGGAUUGGAGUCUGCAACUCGACUCCAUGAAGUCGGAAUCGCUAGUAAUCGUAGAUCAGAAUGCUACGGUGAAUACGUUCCCGGGCCUUGUACACACCGCCCGUCACACCAUGGGAGUGGGUUGCAUAAAGAAGUAGUAGCUUAACCCUUCGGGAGGGCGCUUACCACUUUGUGAUUCAUGAC